rnacentral:rRNA from 1 species
AUUGAACGCUGGCGGCAGGCCUAACACAUGCAAGUCGAGCGGAGCGGCGGACGGGUGAGUAAUGCCUAGGAAUCUGCCUGGUAGUGGGGGAUAACGUCCGGCAACGGCCGCUAAUCCCGCCUAGUAUCAGGUGAGCCUGGGUCGGAUUAGCUAGUGGGUGGGGUAAAGGCCUACCAAGGCGACGAUCCGUAACUGGUCUGAGAGGAUGAUCAGUCACACGGGAACUGAGACACGGUCCAGACUCCUACGGGAGGCAGCAGGGGGGAAUAUUGGACAAUGGGCGAAAGCCUGAUCCAGCCAUGCCGCGUGUGUGAAGAAGGUCUUCGGAUUGUAAAGCACUUUAAGUUGGGAGGCGUUACCCACAGACUAAGCACCGGCUAACUUCGUGCCAGCAGCCGCGGUAAUUC